rnacentral:lncRNA from 1 species
UUUAUCAUACUUUGAGAAGAAAUUUGAGAGAGGUCCAAUAGUGCCCCGUGGUGAAAGGAAUGUUGCGAGAGAAGAGGCUGCAAGAGAGGAGGAAGAGAUUAAUCAGUUUGAAGACGGUGUUCACCCGGACCAACAUAAUGUGCCGGUUGAUGAACCACAAGGGAUGCCGGAGUCGGCCCCUCCUCGUUACUCUCAUGAUAUUAAUCAGCUUGCUUCUAUGUUGCAUCAGAUGGAGAUUUCUCAAUACUCCGGGCUUCCUAAUCUUUACUUUGAUACCGCCUCUUUCAUGUACACCGAGGCGAUGACUUACCGUUCUACCUUCCCUCCUCCUACUUUUGGGACGUUGUAUCCCGUUGAUGCCGAUUGGGAGGCAUAUCAGGCAAGGGAGCUGACAUCAUUUCAGGCCAGACAAGCU